rnacentral:rRNA from 1 species
UACGAAGGUCCCAAGCGUUGUUCGGAAUCACUGGGCGUAAAGGGAGCGUAGGCGGCGUGGUAAGUCAGAUGUGAAAUCCCGGGGCUCAACCCCGGAACUGCAUCCGAUACUGCCAUGCUAGAGGAUUGGAGAGGUAGCUGGAAUUCUUGGUGUAGCAGUGAAAUGCGUAGAGAUCAAGAGGAACACUCGUGGCGAAAGCGAGCUACUGGACAAUUCCUGACGCUGAGGCUCGAAGGCUAGGGUAGCGAAAGGGG